UGGAGCAAUGUGAAUGUUUGAUUUGAAAUCAAUACUAAAAGUAAAAAUUACUUCUUGCUUUAA
rnacentral:tRNA from 1 species